CGUAGGGGGCAAGCGUUGUCCGGAUUUAUUGGGCGUAAAGAGCGUGUAGGCGGCCAGGUAGGUCUGCUGUGAAAACUCGAGGCUUAACCUCGAGAUGUCGGCGGAAACCAUCUGGCUAGAGUCCGGAAGAGGAGAGCGGAAUUCCUGGUGUAGCGGUGAAAUGCGCAGAUAUCAGGAGGAACACCCGUGGCGAAGGCGGCUCUCUGGUACGUGACUGACGCUGAGACGCGAAAGCGUGGGGAGCAAACAGGAUUAGAUACCCUGGUAGUCCACGCCGUAAACGAUGGGUGCUAGGUGUGGGCGGUGUCGACUCCGUCCGUGCCGAAGCUAACGCAUUAAGCACCCCGCCUGGGGAGUACGGCCGCAAGGCUA
rnacentral:rRNA from 1 species